GAGGACUUGUGGCACCUUAAAGACUAACUUUUUAAAGGGGGAACCAAGUAUCAGUCCCGUUUUCUAUCAGGGGGAAUUAAUGUGCAGAAGGGAAGCAACUCUCACACCAGAGCGGAGAGCAGCCAAACUAGGAACUCAGGCUGUUGGAUUCUCAGACCCUUGCCCUGUCUGCAGCAGCCUGGUGCUGGGCGGGGGAGCCCUGAGGGUGAAAGGGACUAAAAGAAAGUGAAACUAACCAGGCCACUUUCACUCUCCAAAGGGAGUAACAAACACAGGUGGCGAGAAGUAAACAACCACCCCACAUACACUGGGUCACACAGGACGGUAGGCGAGGCAGCUUCCCGGCCCCCCCCGACGACUGCCGGAAAGCUGGUACAACACACAAAAAAUGUUAACAAGUAAUAAUGCCAGGAUCCACAAGAAAACAAACUUGAGAGACAGGACCAUGGCAAGGAACUGAUACGAACAAGACCCCGAGUGCAGAACAGAGACAGCUCUUGGAUUGAAUGGGCAAUGAAGACUGAACUCCACUCCAGAGGAGGCCUCUCCAGAAACGGCACACGUGCAGCGUAGCUUGCACCGUUGUUGCUCAUGCUGGACCUACAGGAUCAGGGGAGAAUUCAUUCUCUGCAGCCCAUACAGUCCAUGGUCUCUCUGGUGAGGCUGCCAACAGAGGGACUGCGCAGUGGCGGCAUAUCUGCCUUCUUGGAACUCGACUUGGACCCUACCAAAUUUUCACGGGAGCUGCCAACGUUCCAUUAGAACUUUUAGUGACGAGUGACCUGGGCCAAGGAACCUGGCAGUGAAAUGCUGCAUGUUGCACAGCCUCCCUCCAUCACUCCCCCUGAGCCAGCCACUCCCCGGAUGCUGCUCCUUUCCCCAUUUAAAAGCCACAAGCGUCCAGGACAAUGCCAAAGCGUUCCUAGCUAAGUGCUUUGCCUAUUGCAAAAGAGGCUCUCGGGCACUGUGGCUUCCAUUUCAUGUCUGCCUGUUUGGAUUCCUGCUUGCAGAAUGACUAACUUUAAGGACUAAAAAAAAAUAUAUAUAUAUGUUUUGA